rnacentral:rRNA from 1 species
CUUGACAACCAAAGCCC